rnacentral:rRNA from 1 species
CGGGGUGCAGCAGGCGCGAAAACUUUGCAAUAAGCGAAAGCUUGACAGGGCUAUCCCGAGUGCCAUCCGCUGAGGAAGGCUUUUACCCAGUCUAGAACGCUGGGGGAAUAAGGAGAGGGCAAGUCUGGUGUCAGCCGCCGCGGUAAUACCAGCUCUCCGAGUGGUGUGGAUGUUUAUUGGGCCUAAAGCAUCCGUAGCUGGCUAGGUUAGUCCCCUGUUAAAUCCACCGAAUUAAUCGUUGGAUUGCGGGGGAUACUGCUUGGCUAGGGGACGAGAGAGGCAGACGGUAUUUCCGGGGUAGGGGUGAAAUCCUAUAAUCCCGGGAAGACCACCAGUGGCGAAGGCUGUCUGCUAGAACGCGCCCGACGGUGAGGGACGAAAGCUGGGGGAGCGAACCGGAUUAGAUACCCGGGUAGUCCCAGCUGUAAACGAUGCAGACUAGGUGUUUGGACGGCCACGUGCCGUUCUAGUGCCGCAGGGAAGCUGUUAAGUCUGCCGCCUGGGGAGUACGAUCGCAAGAUUGAAACUUAAAGGAAUU